CAUUUGUAUGCAUUUCCAAUAGGGUCCUAUGUUAAACUAAGUCCCUGCUGGCGGCCAUCUUGGAUAAUGGAUCGGCUACAAAGUAACAACACUUGGUCAGCACCACAUUAGGAACAUUCAUGCCAUGUUUGAUUUCAUUCCAUUCAGUGGUUCUCUAAAAGAAGUCAUUUGUAUGCAUUUCCCAUAGGGUCCUAUGUUAAACUAAGUCCCAUGCUGGCGGCCAUCUUGGAUGAAGGAUGGGCUACAAAGAAACAACACAUGGUCAGCACGGCAUAAGGAACAUUCAUGCAAUGUUUGGUUUCAUUACAUUCAGUUGUUCUCUAAAAGAAGUCAUUUGUAUGCAUUUCCCUUAGGGUCCUAUGUUAAACUAAGUCCCCCGCUGGCGUCCAUCUUGGAUAAUGGAUCGGCUACAAAGUAACAACACUUGGUCAGCACCACAUUAGGAACAUUCAUGCCAUGUUUGAUUUCAUUCCAUUCAGUGGUUCUCUAAAAGAAGUCAUUUGUAUGCAUUUCCCAUAGGGUCCAAUGUUAAACUAAGUCCCCCGCUGGCGGCCAUCUUGGAUGAUGGAUUGGCUACAAAGUAACAACACUUGGUCAGCACUCCAUAAGGAACAUUCAUGCUAUGUUUGGUUUCAUUCCAUUUAGUGGUUCUCUAGAAGAAGUCAUUUGUAUGCAUUUCCCAUAGGGUCCUAUGUUAAACUAAGUCCCCCGCUGGCGGCCAUCUUGGAUGAUGGAUCGGCUACAAAGUAACAACACUUGGUCAGCACUCCAUAAGGAACAUUCAUGCUAUGUUUGGUUUCAUUCCAUUUAGUGGUUCUCUAGAAGAAGUCAUUUGUAUGCAUUUCCCAUAGGGUCCUGUGUUAAACUAAGUCCCCCGCUGGCGGCCAUCUUGGAUGAUGGAUCGGCUACAAAGUAACAACACUUGGUCAGCACCCCAUAAGGAACAUUCAUGCUAUGUUUGGUUUUAUUCCAUUCAGUGGUUCUCUAAAAGAAGUCAUUUGUAUGCAUUUCCCAUAGGGUCCUAUGUUAAACUAAGUUCCCGGCUGGCGGCCAUCUUGGAUGAUGGAUCGGCAACAAAGUAACAACACUUGGUCAGCACCUCAUAAGGAACAUUCAUGCCAUGUUUGGUUUCAUUCCAUUCAGUGGUUCUCUAGAGAAAGUCAUUUGUAUGCAUUUCCCAUAGGGUCCUAUGUUAAACUAAGUCCCCCGCUGGCGGCCAUCUUGGAUGAUGGAUCGGCAACAAAGUAACAACACUUGGUCAGCACCUCAUAAGGAACAUUCAUGCCAUGUUUGGUUUCAUUCAAUUCAGUGGUUCUCUAAAAGAAGUCAUUUGUAUGCAUUUCCCAUAGGGUCCUAUGUUAAACUAAGUCCCCUGCUGGCGGCCAUCUUGGAUGAUGGAUCGGCUACAAAGUAACAACACUUGGUCAGCACCCCAUAAGGAACAUUCAUGCUAUGUUUGGUUUUAUUCCAUUCAGUGGUUCUCUAAAAGAAGUCAUUUGUAUGCAUUUCCCAUAGGGUCCUAUGUUAAACUAAGUCCCCCGCUGGCGGCCAUCUUGGAUGAUGGAUCGGCUACAAAGUAACAACACUUGGUCAGCACCUCAUAAGGAACAUUCAUGCCAUGUUUGGUUCCAUUCCAUUCAGUGGUUCUCUAGAAGAAGUUCAAAAUGUAAAUUGUAAACGACGACGACGACGGACGACGACGGACGACGACGACGGACGACGGACGCCAAGUGGUGAGAAAAGCUCACUUGGCCCUUCG
rnacentral:lncRNA from 1 species